rnacentral:rRNA from 1 species
AGCCCGCUCGCCGGAAGACCAAGGGUUCCUGUCCAACGUUAAUCGGGGCAGGGUGAGUCGACCCCUAAGGCGAGGCCGAAAGGCGUAGUCGAUGGGAAACAGGUUAAUAUUCCUGUACUUGGUGUUACUGCGAAGGGGGGACGGAGAAGGCUAUGUUGGCCGGGCGACGGUUGUCCCGGUUUAAGCGUGUAGGCUGGUUUUCCAGGCAAAUCCGGAAAACCAAGGCUGAGGCGUGAUGACGAGGCACUACGGUGCUGAAGCGACAAAUGCCCUGCUUCCAGGAAAAGCCUCUAAGCAUCAGGUAACAUCAAAUCGUACCCCAAACCGACACAGGUGGUCAGGUAGAGAAUACCAAGGCGCUUGAGAGAACUCGGGUGAAGGAACUAGGCAAAAUGGUGCCGUAACUUCGGGAGAAGGCACGCUGAUAUGUAGGUGAAGCGACUUGCUCGUGGAGCUGAAAUCAGUCGAAGAUACCAGCUGGCUGCAACUGUUUAUUAAAAACACAGCACUGUGCAAACACGAAAGUGGACGUAUACGGUGUGACGCCUGCCCGGUGCCGGAAGGUUAAUUGAUGGGGUUAGCGGUAACGCGAAGCUCUUGAUCGAAGCCCCGGUAAACGGCGGCCGUAACUAUAACGGUCCUAAGGUAGCGAAAUUCCUUGUCGGGUAAGUUCCGACCUGCACGAAUGGCGUAAUGAUGGCCAGGCUGUCUCCACCCGGGACUCAGUGAAAUUGAACUCGCUGUGAAGAUGCAGUGUACCCGCGGCAAGACGGAAAGACCCCGUGAACCUUUACUAUAGCUUGACACUGAACAUUGAGCCUUGAUGUGUAGGAUAGGUGGGAGGCUUUGAAGUGUGGACGCCAGUCUGCAUGGAGCCGACCUUGAAAUACCACCCUUUAAUGUUUGAUGUUCUAACGUUGGCCCGUAAUCCGGGUUGCGGACAGUGUCUGGUGGGUAGUUUGACUGGGGCGGUCUCCUCCUAAAGAGUAACGGAGGAGCACGAAGGUUGGCUAAUCCUGGUCGGACAUCAGGAGGUUAGUGCAAUGGCAUAAGCCAGCUUGACUGCGAGCGUGACGGCGCGAGCAGGUGCGAAAGCAGGUCAUAGUGAUCCGGUGGUUCUGAAUGGAAGGGCCAUCGCUCAACGGAUAAAAGGUACUCCGGGGAUAACAGGCUGAUACCGCCCAAGAGUUCAUAUCGACGGCGGUGUUUGGCACCUCGAUGUCGGCUCAUCACAUCCUGGGGCUGAAGUAGGUCCCAAGGGUAUGGCUGUUCGCCAUUUAAAGUGGUACGCGAGCUGGGUUUAGAACGUCGUGAGACAGUUCGGUCCCUAUCUGCCGUGGGCGCUGGAGAACUGAGGGGGGCUGCUCCUAGUACGAGAGGACCGGAGUGGACGCAUCACUGGUGUUCGGGUUGUCAUGCCAAUGGCACUGCCCGGUAGCUAAAUGCGGAAGAGAUAAGUGCUGAAAGCAUCUAAGCACGAAACUUGCCCCGAGAUGAGUUCUCCCUGAGACUUAGAGUCUCCUGAAGGAACGUUGAAGACGACGACGUUGAUAGGCCGGGUGUGUAAGCGCAGCGAUGCGUUGAGCUAACCGGUACUAAUGAACCGUGAGGCUUAACC